rnacentral:rRNA from 1 species
UACGUAGGGUGCGAGCGUUGUCCGGAAUUAUUGGGCGUAAAGGGCUCGUAGGCGGUUUGUCGCGUCGGGAGUGAAAACCAGGUGCUUAACACCUGGCUUGCUUUCGAUACGGGCAGACUAGAGGUAUUCAGGGGGAGAACGGAAUUCCUGGUGUAGCGGUGAAAUGCGCAGAUAUCAGGAGGAACACCGGUGGCGAAGGCGGUUCUCUGGGCAUUACCUGACGUGAGGAGCGAAAGCGUGGGGAGCAAACAGG